rnacentral:rRNA from 1 species
GAUGAACGCUGGCGGCGUGCCUAAUACAUGCAAGUCGAGCGAACAGACGAGGAGCUUGCUCCUCUGACGUUAGCGGCGGACGGGUGAGUCACACGUGGAUAACCUACCUAUAAGACUGGGAUAACUUCGGGAAACCGGCGCUAAUACCGGAUAAUAUAUUGCACCGUAUUGGUCAAUAGUGAAAUACGGUUUUUCUGUCACUUAUAGAUGGUUCCCGGCCGGAUUAGCUAGUUGGUAAGGUAACAGCUUACCAAGGCAACGAUGCGUAGCCGACGUGAGAGGGUGAUCGGCCACACUGGAGCUGAGACACGGUCCAGACUCCUACGGGAGGCAGCAGUAGGGAAUCUUCCGCAAUGGACGAAAGCCUGACGGAGCAACGCCGCGUGAGUGAUGAAGGUCUUCGGAUCGUAAAACUCUGUUAUUAGGGAAGAACAAAUGUGUAAGUAACUAUGCACGUCUUGACGGUACCUAAUCAGAAAGCCACGGCUAACUACGUG